AGUGAACGCUGGCGGUAGGCCUAACACAUGCAAGUCGAACGGCAGCACAGUAAGAGCUUGCUCUUACGGGUGGCGAGUGGCGGACGGGUGAGGAAUACAUCGUAAUCUACUUUUUCGUGGGGGAUAACGUAGGGAAACUUACUCUAAUACCGCAUACGACCUACGGGGGAAAGCAUGGGAUCUUCUGACCUUGCGCGGUUGAAUGAGCCGAUGUCGGAUUAGCUAGUUGGCGGGGUAAAGGCCCACCAAGGCGACGAUCCGUAGCUGGUCUGAGAGGAUGAUCAGCCACACUGGAACUGAGACACGGUCCAGACUCCUACGGGAGGCAGCAGUGGGGAAUAUUGGACAAUGGGCGCAAGCAUGAUCCAGCCAUACCGAGUGGGUGAAGAAGGCCUUCGGGUUGUAAAGCCCUUCUGUUGGGAAAGAAAAGCAGCAGGUUAAUACCCCGCUGUUCUGACGGUACCCAAAGAAUAAGCACCGGCUAACUUCGUG
rnacentral:rRNA from 1 species